UACGUAGGGGGCUAGCGUUGUCCGGAAUCAUUGGGCGUAAAGGGUGCGUAGGUGGCGCUGUAAGUCGGGUGUGAAAUUUCGGAGCUUAACUCCGAAACUGCAUUCGAUACUGCGGUGCUUGAGGACUGGAGAGGAGACUGGAAUUCAUGGUGUAGCAGUGAAAUGCGUAGAGAUCAUGAGGAAGACCAGUGGCGAAGGCGGGUCUCUGGACAGUUCCUGACACUGAGGCACGAAGGCCAGGGGAGCAAACGGG
rnacentral:rRNA from 1 species